rnacentral:tRNA from 1 species
AGCCCUGCAGUUGCAGAAACAUCAGAUUGCAAAUCUGGAGACGCAGAUUCAACACCUGCCGGGGCUU